AUUGAACGCUGGCGGCAUCGCCUUACACAUGCAAGUCGAACGGUAACGGGCCUUCGGGUGCCGACGAGUGGCGAACGGGUGAGUAAUGCAUCGGAACGUACCUUCAGUGGGGGAUAACGUAGCGAAAGUUACGCUAAUACCGCAUAUUCUGUACGCAGGAAAGCAGGGGAUCGCAAGACCUUGCGCUGAUUGAGCGGCCGAUGUCAGAUUAGCUAGUUGGUGAGGUAAAGGCUCACCAAGGCGACGAUCUGUAGCGGGUCUGAGAGGAUGAUCCGCCACACUGGAACUGAGACACGGUCCAGACUCCUACGGGAGGCAGCAGUGGGAAUUUUGGACAAUGGGGGCAACCCUGAUCCAGCCAUGCCGCGUGAGUGAAGAAGGCCUUCGGGUUGUAAAGCUCUUUCGGCCGGGAAGAAAUCGCAUGGGCUAAUACCCUGUGCGGAUGACGGUACCGGCAUAAGAAGCACCGGCUAACUACGUGCCAGCAGCCGCGG
rnacentral:rRNA from 1 species